rnacentral:rRNA from 1 species
AUGAAUCUGAAGAGAAUGCUUGGAAAAUUGCAUGAGUGGAGUAGCACUUAUAUUGGAUAUCUACCCAGGAAACUUGAUUUGGCGAGGAAAAGACUAAAUAGUCUUUACAAUAGAAAUGAUACUGCAGCCUUGGUUGAAAGGAAGGCGAUUCUUAAAGAAAUGGAUGAGCUCCUUUAUAAAGAAGAAAUUUUAUGGAAGCAAAGAUCACAGAUUGAUAAAAUUAAAUGGGGGGAUAGGAACACAAAAUUCUUCAGAUCUAAGGCUACAUGGAGAGCUAAGAAAAAUAAUAUUUCGAGCUUGAGAAGGAAUGAUGGCACGGUUACAGAGAAUGUGGCAGAGAUCCAUAAUAUCACUAACUCAUUUUUCAAGGAUCUAUACACAUGUGAUGGUACGGUUGAUCCUUCUCUGAUCAUUCCCCUCGUCAAGCCGCUUGUGAGUGAGGAUAUGAAUGUUGAUAUUUGUAAACCGUUCACGGACCAAGAGAUUAGCGACGCUCUCUUUCAAAUUGGCCCACUUAAAGCUCCGGGUCCUGAUGGUUUUCCAGCAAGGUUCUUUCAAAGGAAUUGGGGAGUGCUGAAGGAGGAUAUUAUUCGUGCGGUUAAAAAGUUUUUUCAUACGGGGACAAUGCCGGAGGGCGUAAACGAUACGGUGAUUGUUCUUAUUCCUAAGGUGAAAAAUCCCCAAUCAAUCAAAGACUUCCGUCCUAUCAGUCUGUGUAAUGUUGUUUAUAAAAUCAUAUCAAAGUGCCUUGUGAACAGACUGAGACUGCAUCUUGAUGGUAUGAUUUCUCCAACCCAAAGUGCCUUUAUUCCAGGGAGACUUAUUUCUGAUAAUGCUCUUAUUGCGUUUGAGUGUAUGCAUUCCUUAAGAACUCUGAAGGAUGGGCGGCGUGAAUUCUGUGCUUAUAAAUUGGAUCUUGCCAAGGCUUAUGAUAGAGUGGAUUGGAAUUUUUUGAAGUGCAUGUUGAGCGCAUUGGGGUUCGCACCAGAGUGGAUAAAGUGGAUUAUGGCAUGUGUUACUUCAGUAAAAUUUUCAGUACGCUUCAAUGGCCAGCUCUUGGAGUCGUUCUCCCCGUCAUGUGGUAUUAGGCAAGGGGAUCCUCUCUCACCAUACUUAUUCUUAUUUGUGGCUGAAACUCUUUCCUUAUUGCUACAGAAUGCGUGUACUAGUGGAUCACUUCUGGAGUUCAAGGUUAAUAGAUAG